rnacentral:rRNA from 1 species
UACGUAGGGCGCAAGCGUUGUCCGGAAUUAUUGGGCGUAAAGAGCUCGUAGGCGGCCUGUCGCGUCUGCUGUGAAAUCCCGGGGCUUAACCCCGGGCGUGCAGUGGAUACGGGCUGGCUGGAGGCAGGCAGGGGAGAACGGAAUUCCCGGUGUAGCGGUGAAAUGCGCAGAUAUCGGGAGGAACACCGGUGGCGAAGGCGGUUCUCUGGGCAUCUACUGACGCUGAGGAGCGAAAGCAUGGGGAGCGAACAGG